rnacentral:rRNA from 1 species
AACGAACGCUGGCGGCAUGCCUAACACAUGCAAGUCGAACGAGACCUUCGGGUCUAGUGGCGCACGGGUGCGUAACGCGUGGGAACCUGCCCUUAGGUUCGGAAUAACUCCCCGAAAGGGGUGCUAAUACCGGAUAAUGUCUUCGGACCAAAGAUUUAUCGCCUUUGGAUGGGCCCGCGUUGGAUUAGCUAGUUGGUAGGGUAAAAGCCUACCAAGGCGACGAUCCAUAGCUGGUCUGAGAGGAUGAUCAGCCACACUGGGACUGAGACACGGCCCAGACUCCUACGGGAAGCAGCAGUGGGGAAUAUUGGUCAAUGGGCGAAAGCCUGAUCCAGCAAUGCCGCGUGAGUGAUGAAGGCCUUAGGGUUGUAAAGCUCUUUUACCCGGGAUGAUAAUGACAGUACCGGGAGAAUAAGCUCCGGCUAACUCCGUG